rnacentral:rRNA from 1 species
CAAGUCGAACGAGAAAGGGUUCGCAAGAACCCGAGUAAAGUGGCGAAAGGGUGAGUAGUACCUAGGUAACCUGCCGUGAAGAUGGGGAAAACGUUUCUAACGGAACGCUAAUACCCAAUGUGUCGGCGAGACCGCAUGGUCAUGCCGGUAAAGGGUAGCCUCUAUUUAUAAGCUUCCGCUUCAUGAGGGGCCUCGGACCUAUCAGUUAGUUGGCGGGGUAACGGCCCACCAAGACUGGGACGGGUAGCCGGUCUGAGAGGAUGGUCGGCCACACUGGAACUGAGACACUGUCCAGACUCCUACGGGAGGCUGCAGUCGAGGAUCUUCUGCAAUGGGCGCAAGCCUGACAGAGCGACGCCGCGUGGGGGAGGAAGGCCUUCGGGUUGUAAACCCCUGUUGCCGGUUAAGAAUGUCGGGGUGCAAAUAGCGCUACCGAUUGACUAAGGCCGGUGAGGAAGCCACGGCUAACUACGUGCCAGCAGCCGCGGUAAGACGUAGGUGGCGAGCGUUGUUCGGAAUCACUGGGCAUAAAGCGCACGUAGGCGGCCAUAUAAGUCGGGUGUGAAAGCCCUCGGCUCAACCGAGGAACUGCGCCCGAUACUGCAUGGCUUGAGGUCCGGAGGGGAGAGUGGAAUUCCCGGUGGAGCGGUGAAAUGCGUAGAGAUCGGGAAGAACGCCGGCGGCGAAAGCGACUCUCUGGUCGGAAUCUGACGCUGAGGUGCGAAAGCUAGGGGAGCAAACGGGAUUAGAUACCCCGGUAGUCCUAGCCAUAAACGAUGGGCACUAGGUACUGGUCGUUUCUAUGCGGUCAGUGCUGGAGCAAAUGUCUUAAGUGCCCCGCCUGGGAAGUACGGUCGCAAGACUAAAACUCAAAGGAAUUGACGGGGGCUCACACAA